rnacentral:rRNA from 1 species
UACAGAGGUCUCGAGCGUUAGGCGGAAUCACUGGGCUUAAAGCGUGUGUAGGCGGAUCGUUAAGUACCUUGUGAAAUCCCACGGCUUAACCGUGGAACUGCUUGGUAUACUGGCGGUCUUGAGCCAGCUAGGGGCUACCGGAACAAAUGGUGGAGCGGUGAAAUGCGUAGAUAUCAUUUGGAACGCCAAUGGUGAAAACAGGUAGCUGGGGCUGUGCUGACGCUGAGACACGAAAGCCAGGGGAGCGAAUGGG